GACGAACGCUGGCGGCGUGCUUAACACAUGCAAGUCGAACGGAAAGGCCCUGCUUUUGUGGGGUGCUCGAGUGGCGAACGGGUGAGUAACACGUGAGUAACCUGCCCUUGACUUUGGGAUAACUUCAGGAAACUGGGGCUAAUACCGGAUAGGAGCUCCUGCUGCAUGGUGGGGGUUGGAAAGUUUCGGCGGUUGGGGAUGGACUCGCGGCUUAUCAGCUUGUUGGUGGGGUAGUGGCUUACCAAGGCUUUGACGGGUAGCCGGCCUGAGAGGGUGACCGGCCACAUUGGGACUGAGAUACGGCCCAGACUCCUACGGGAGGCAGCAGUGGGGAAUAUUGCACAAUGGGCGGAAGCCUGAUGCAGCAACGCCGCGUGCGGGAUGACGGCCUUCGGGUUGUAAACCGCUUUCGCCUGUGACGAAGCGUGAGUGACGGUAAUGGGUAAAGAAGCACCGGCUAACUACGUGCCAGCAGCCGCGGUGAUACGUAGGGUGCGAGCGUUGUCCGGAUUUAUUGGGCGUAAAGGGCUCGUAGGUGGUUGAUCGCGUCGGAAGUGUAAUCUUGGGGCUUAACCCUGAGCGUGCUUUCGAUACGGGUUGACUUGAGGAAGGUAGGGGAGAAUGGAAUUCCUGGUGGAGCGGUGGAAUGCGCAGAUAUCAGGAGGAACACCAGUGGCGAAGGCGGUUCUCUGGGCCUUUCCUGACGCUGAGGAGCGAAAGCGUGGGGAGCGAACAGGCUUAGAUACCCUGGUAGUCCACGCUGUAAACGGUGGGUACUAGGUGUGGGGUCCAUUCCACGGGUUCCGUGCCGUAGCUAACGCUUUAAGUACCCCGCCUGGGGAGUACGGCCGCAAGGCUAAAACUCAAAGGAAUUGACGGGGCCCCGCACAAGCGGCGGAGCAUGCGGAUUAAUUCGAUGCAACGCGUAGAACCUUACCUGGGUUUGACAUGGAUCGGGAGUGCUCAGAGAUGGGUGUGCCUCUUUUGGGGUCGGUUCACAGGUGGUGCAUGGCUGUCGUCAGCUCGUGUCGUGAGAUGUUGGGUUAAGUCCCGCAACGAGCGCAACCCUUGUUCACUGUUGCCAGCACGUUAUGGUGGGGACUCAGUGGAGACCGCCGGGGUCAACUCGGAGGAAGGUGGGGAUGACGUCAAGUCAUCAUGCUCCUUAUGUCCAGGGCUUCACGCAUGCUACAAUGGCUGGUACAGAGAGUGGCGAGCCUGUGAGGGUGAGCGAAUCUCGGAAAGCCGGUCUCAGUUCGGAUUGGGGUCUGCAACUCGACCUCAUGAAGUCGGAGUCGCUAGUAAUCGCAGAUCAGCAACGCUGCGGUGAAUACGUUUCCGGG
rnacentral:rRNA from 1 species